ensembl:lncRNA
CGGCACAGUGGGGCAGUGCGGGAGUGGCACGGUUCUAACACUGUGGGGAGCUCUGGGAUGUUCGCAGGUGUGUGGGGAGGGACUGUUGAGGCCUAAGGGGGAAGGGAAGGGACCAGACCUCCCCCCCCCUCCCCGAGGCUCAGCAGGCUGCGACACCAGCUCCAAGUUGAGGGGUCUGAGAAUGUGGAGCUGAGAUACUUGUUCUGCUGCUGGAGAAGGCACUGAUGGGGGUAAUGCAUGGAGACGCAAUGUCACUUACACAAGAUGUUGAUGGCAUUUACUAUAUAAAAACCUUCCUCCUAGAGUAAAGAGUAUCAGCAUUACAACGCGACAGACGGCGGCGGGAUAAGUAAAACAGACAGAAGACAAACAAGAUAAUAAUCUGUUUCCGAUCACUUAAGCCCUGUGGAGUUAGUAAUAUGCGGUUUGCAUAUUCCCCCUUGAGUUCGCCAGCCGUGAAAAAUUAUACUGGUGUACCACUGAGAAACUGUUUUGCCGCAAAGAGCCCGCGCCUAAUCACUGGCUUUCUCCCUCCGACAAAAGUGUAAUUAUUUUGUUUGGGGUGUAAAUAUAGGCCGCGCUGCGCACACAUACUCAGCGUCCCGCCGCGCCCGGCC